UAACUAUACAAUGCCAAAUGUCUUCUGGUGAUCUGAAGACAUCAGGGGCUUUUCUAUCAUGUAGACCAAACAUGAUUCAGGUGCAAAAAAGGGCCUGGAAGACUGCGUACGGAAAAAUGGGGCAGCAGUGUGAGAGUAUUCUGAAACAACGCGAAGACAGAAAUAGCAGCGCCGACAGAGUUGCAGAACUCCAGAGCCAGAAGGAUGAUAUCUCAACAAAUGACAGAGCCCAAUUCAUUGACUCCAAUAAGAACGACACGCGUCUAUUAUAACUUUACAAGAUGGAAAGUACAUACAGAAAAAUUUUGAAGUUUUAAGAGUUA